AGGGUUCUUGUCUCACGGAGUCGAAGAAUGAAUCUCGCGGACACAAGAGGGUGAAAUGAAGUGAAGGAGCCUUUAGGAGAAUGGCCUGAUCUGGGAUUGGCCCUGGUCGUGCUGACACAUGGAGUUCACCUAUUCUGAACUGAGCUGUGCUCAGAACAUAGUCCUAUAGCCAACAAGAGGAUGGGAUUUGUGUCCCUGAAGUAGAGGACUUGACGUGGCCCAGUGCUUCUCAGGUGAAGAGCUGAUCUGAGGAACAUUCUGAAGUGGUCUGCAGCAUUAGAAUCGAGGGAGAUGAUUCUGUCCUUACUACAGUCUACACUCUUCCUGCUCCCUGCUUCCCUGAAUUACCAGGAUGAUGGACUCAAUUCUGAGACCCAGUAUGAUUUCUGGCAGCCACAGUCUAUUUCACACGCCACCUCCUGGGAUUACCACAUCCUUUGUAGAGCUGCCCUGUCCUGUGGUGAAGGUUUUUACUUGGCGGGGGAACCUUUAUAAAGAGCCCACAUCUUCAGAACUACAAAUUACUGGAGAAACGAAGAGGAAAGAACAUAAUUGAUGAACAUUCUGGAGAAAAGCCUGGGUACUGUCAUAUCAAUAAAGACAAGCGUAGUGGGCUGAAGUGGCCCCUCAAAAAGUUAUAUGCACUUCCUAAUACUGGGAAGGAGUGAAUAUUACUUUCUAUGGUAACAAAUUUGAUUAAAUGAAGGAUCUUGAGAUUAGAAGAUUAUCUGGGAUCAUCCAGGUGGGUCCUCAACGUCAUCACAUCACCCACAAGAGAAACAGAAGAGGAGACACAGAUGCACAGAGAAGAAGAUGCAUGAAGACGGAGGCAUACAUUGGAGUGAUGUGAUGUGGCUGCAGAGCCAGGAACCACAAGGACCGUGGCAGCCACCAGGAGCCAGGAGAGAGGCAUGGAAGAGAUUCUCCUUCAGGACUGCCAGAAGGAACCAAGCCUGCCGACACCCUGAUUUGGGGCUUCGAGCCUCCAGAACUGGGAAAGGAUACAUUUGUGUUGUUUUAAGCCACCCGGUUUGUGGUAAGUUGUGACAGUGGCCUCAGGAAACUAGCCCAACAAGCAAACACACAAAACUGGAUGGACAGAGACCACUGGUACCGAUGUACCACGGUAUUGCCACGCCAGCACUUGACAGUCCUAAGCAGCGAGCAUGGCCGGGCUCAGUGACCUCACCACCUGCCUAGACA